rnacentral:misc_RNA from 1 species
GAUGAAGAACUUAGCGAAAUGCGAUAAGUAAUGUGAAUUGCAGAAUUCAGUGAAUCAUCGAAUCUUUGAACGCACAUUGCGCCCGCCAGUAUUCUGGCGGGCAUGCCUGUUCGAGCGUCAUUACAACCCUCAGGCCCCCGGGCCUGGCGUUGGGGAUCGGCGGAGCCCCCCGUGGGCACACGCCGUCCCCCAAAUGCAGUGGCGGUCCCGCCGCAGCUUCCAUCGCGUAGUAGCUAACACCUCGCGACUGGAGAGCGGCGCGGCCACGCCGUAAAACACCCAACCCUUCUGAAGUUGACCUCGAAUCAGGUAGGAAUACCCGCUGAACUUAAGCAUAUCAAUAAGCGGAGGA